GGCACAAUGUCAUCAACGAGACCAGAAAAUAAAUCAUAGAAUGAUAACACAGAUGGCUUGGAAGAAGCAUCAGUAAUCUUGCCAUCUUUGCUUCUGAUUAUUUGGAUAAGGUAAUUUUUCUCCUUCCCAUCUGCAGUUUGCUGAAAGCAUCCUACAACAAUGCUAUCAGGACGUACCCACCUGAUAGAAUCCACUUUAACACUACAACUAUCUUCAGAAUCACCAAUCCACGACUU
rnacentral:misc_RNA from 1 species